AUAUUUUAGAAAUAUGUCAAAUUAUUAAUUUAAAAUUAAUAAUUUUUCCUCAAAAUUUCAAAUUCGAAAAAAAACUCAAAAAAUUGACACAUAAUUUCCCCAAGUCCUUUUCUACAU
rnacentral:tRNA from 15 species